CCUUGGAGAGCGCUGAAUUCCCGUUAGGGAAGCGGGGGACCCUUUCCGUUGGGGCUAAUCUCGCCUGCGCGAGUAGGGCUAUCUUUCGGCCCGCGCCCGUCAGCUAACCUCGUAAGCGUGGAAAGAGAGGGAAG
rnacentral:sRNA from 2 species